rnacentral:tRNA from 1 species
ACUUUGGUAGCUCAUUGGGUAGAGCAAUCGACUUCACUCGAUAUGUAGCGGGUUCGAAUCCCGCCCAAACUG